GCCUCGGAUCUCCUUUACAUGGCAUGGUCGUAUCCUUGAGGCUUGGGGAUACUCGUACCUGCCUUAGGGUGUUUGAGGCUGCUCGUUUUCCUAUCGGCUAUAGAUUGGUCGCGAUUAAGAAGAGACAAGCCACUUCUGCCGGCGACUUUCGCCAGAGGAUCCUUUCGGCGACUCGUGCGUCAAUGAGUAUUCUAACUACAUGUGCAUUUUUUUAUUUUAUUUAUUUUCUGACAAUUUUUCAUGUGGUUGUGUUUUAUAGAUCGAUCUCCGUCCUUGGAGUUUGAUCGUCGGAGUCCCUAAGGUUAUCUGGUAUGGCAUGAUUCGUUGCCGUUUCCAGGCCCCUAUUCGGGACUCUUGGUUUUUAGGUGAGCGUGUUCUCUGGCAUCUUUCGUCCCGAGGAGCCUUUGGUUCCUGCGGAUCCUUCGAUCCGGAUGAUACGUCCGGACUUGCUUUCUACCAAGGAUCGAGCUCAGGCGAUCCUUGGUUAUCCAACGGAGCAGCUAGUGCGGCCGGAGGUUUGUUAUCCGGCUUUUAUAGCAUCCAGGGUGCCUCAUUUUCCGGCUUUUGUUACGCAGGUCGAGCUAGGUGGUUGGGUGCCUCGUACAGCGGAGAUCACUUAUACCGAUGCUGUCGGAUCGGUAAUUCGUGAGACCCUUCACGUAGCGGAGGAUGAUGAGGGGAUACCGUUUGUACCUGAGACAGUUGAGUCGGUUCUGCGAUAAACCGUGAACGACAUGGGGAGGACUUUACGUGCUUUCCGAGCUUCUUAUCGGAGAGCCCUCGUGACUUUAUCAUGCCGUGAUCAUCGGAUGAUCGCAGAUGUGCAGCAACCGUCUAGUAGUCGCCGAGCACCCUGAUUCCUUUUUUACACAUAUUGUUAUUCAUUUUAGGAAACAUAUGUAUAUAUAUUUUUUGUACAUAUGACACAUUUGUAUAUAUGUCAUCAUUAUUAUAUUUUUGUUUCCAUGUGUACAUUAUUAUUAUUUUUAUUAUUAAAAGAAAAAAAAUUUCGAGGGAGGGAAAGGGUUCCCGAUUUACCCUGCUCGAAAAAAGGAAGGCGAAA